rnacentral:rRNA from 1 species
UCGGGUGGUGGACAGUGGCGCACGGGUGAGUAACACGUGGGGACCUACCUGAUAGUACGGGACAACAGUUGGAAACGACUGCUAAUACCGUAUACGCCCUUCGGGGGAAAGGCCGGGAUCUUCGGACCGGUUGCUAUUGGAUGAGCCUGCGUAAGAUUAGCUAGUUGGUAGGGUAAAGGCCUACCAAGGCGACGAUCUUUAGCUGGUCUGAGAGGAUGAUCAGCCACACUGGAACUGAGACACGGUCCAGACUCC